GAAUGUCAAGCAGAACUGGCUUUUUUCUAUUAUCCUAUUCACUACCAUGGUUGAUUUGGCUGAUAUAACUGGUAAGUGGAUGCCCCCUUCUUCCCUCAUCACUCCAUGUAUGUCCCUCCCAAAGCUUCAAAGAAGAUGACCUUCCCUGAAGGAUGAGGACCAGUUUUCAGUCCAGAAUAUGUGAACAGUUAGGUGUGCUUUCUUGCUAGAACCUUCAAAUAAGUUCUCAGGAGACAAAAAUGUGCUACUUACAAACUCUGUCAGGGAC
rnacentral:snRNA from 1 species